ACUAAUUAAUCCUAGUUCCUACUAUUCAGCAGUAAUACAUUUAAUACAAAUAAAUUACGUUUAACACAAUGUCCGAACUGAAAUGCUGAUCACAAUUUUAUGUUAAGUUUUUAAACACUGAACAUUAUUACGGUCCACUGGAAAUCAAUGUUGUUUGUGACAGCAACUUAAAGCUCAGUUGAACACAUUUUUGAUUAAAGUGAUUGGAAUGUAUGGUAUGUAUCCCUUGAUAUACUCAACAUUAUCUGCCUUAGGGAUGGUUGGGUACAAUACAUUAGAAACAAAACAGGACUUAUCAACUAUCAACUUAAAGUCUUGGUAGUGAGAAACCCAAGUGUUUUUAAAGAACUCGGUUUCGGUACCUAGGAGAAAUAUGCGACGGCGAGAGCCAUGGUUAUUUGCGAUACCAAGGGCUAGAACUUCUGUCUUUUUUUUUCAUGUUACAGGCAAAACAUCCCGUUAUCAAAUACGUUGCGCUUACUGAAUGCUGUCUCCGAGACUAUUGACAUUUUUAUAUGUUCGCAGAGUGUAUGUAUUUAAUUUAAAUAUUGUAUUAUAAAUUUCAGACUUCAGUUUAG